rnacentral:rRNA from 1 species
GACGAACGCUGGCGGCGUGCCUAAUACAUGCAAGUAGGACGCAGUUGCGAACGGGUGAGUAACGCGUAGGUAACUACCUAUGAGAGGGGGAUAACUAUUGGAAACGAUAGCCAAUACCGCAUACUAGUAGAUUGACCUGCGUUGUAUUAGCUAGUUGGUAGGGGAAUGGCCUACCUAGGCAACGAUACAUAGCCGAGCUGAGGAGGUGAUCGGGCACACUGGGACUGAGACACGGCCCAGACUCCUUCGGGAGGGAGCAGGAGGGAAUCAUCGGAAAUGGGGGGAACCCUUGACGAGCAACGGCGCGGGAGUGAAGAAGGGUUUCGGAGCGUAAAGCUCUGUUGUUAAGGGAGCGGUACUUAACCAGAAAGGGACGGCUAACUACGUGCCAGCAGCCGCGGUAAUAC